rnacentral:siRNA from 1 species
UACAACACUGUUGCGAUGCG